CAACCCUCAGGCCCUCCCCGCGGGGGCCUGGCGUUGGGGAUCAGGGGCCGCCCGGCGGUCCCUGCCCCCUAAAUUCAGUGGCGGUCGCGCCGCAGCCUCCCCUGCGUAGUAGCAACACCUCGCACCGGAGAGCGGCUCGGCCACGCCGUGAAACCCCCAAUUUCUCAA
rnacentral:misc_RNA from 1 species